UUUAACUUCAAUAACUUGCAAUCUCCCUAUUACAAGCCACUUUGCAAUAACCCUAUUACAAAGACUUCAACUAGCUUGUGAUUCUAUCACCACAAGCCACUUUAUAACUCUCCUAGUUACAAAAGCUUUAAACUUAUGACUAUUCCUAGUCACAACGUAAACUCAAAGCUUCUAAGAAAGUAAACUAGGAAAUACAAUGAAGAGCAAAUAACAAGAUUACAACUCAACUAUGAAUGUACAUAAACUCAUUAAGAAACUGAUCCUUAGUGGACUUGUCUUCUUGUUCUUGACACACAAGUGACUUCACUGCCGAAUGAACAUUGUUAUGUUUGAGAGAAUAUCACCGAUUGCACAAAGAUAUUGUGCCUUGUACCAGGUUGUUAUAUCACAAAAGACAUCACCAUAGAUAGAGGCAUGAUUUUUAUAUGAUAUGCAGAAUUACUAUAUACAUGGUUUCUAUAUGUAAGAAUGCAGAAAUUCAGAAGCAAACCCUAUAGACAGGAUAUCUACUAUUAUGCAUACAUAAAGUAAACCCCCUCCCUUUCCUUUACUAAAGCCCCAUAAGAUUUAAAAAUUAUUACAGGCCAACUGGAUCAAACUGGAAACAAAUUACAUUAGAAAUUACAGCUACAUCCAAAUAGCCUAAUUCAGACUUAAUAUCUAACAACAUGAGAUGAACCAAACUUCUGGGAUCAAGAUUUCCAAGGCUUCUUUCUUGUCUGUAGUGCAUCAAAGUUACAAGGAAUCUCAAGGACCCCAGGAAAUGCUUACACCCAGAUAUCAUCAAAGAACUGAACUAAAGUUCAGUGUAGAAGGGUCACCCAUCAAAUGUCCAAGUUCAGAGGGAGCUCAUGGCAAGCCUCACAAAAGGGGGAAAAGGGCUUAGAUUCUAGGAACAAGUGUAAGUGCAAUAGAGGGGAUCAAGGGAUGCCAAGGUAGGAUGGUGGACAUCCCCAGUAACAUAGAGUACUAGCACAACCUUAACCAAACCUGUUGGCCAAACAUUAGAGGGUAAGGACCUAUUGAAGGUCAAACCAUGGCUUGGACAGUAAUUGAAUAUUGUCAGGCCAAAGCUUCAACUCAGCACAUAGCAAGGGAAUGGGGGAUGGGAAAUUGAUAAGAUCUUAGGACCCAAAGGGUCCAGUUCGUAUCCAUGGACAAUAACUUCAGAUAUAUUGCCAUGUUUUUUAACCAUAGCUCCAAACACAUAGGGGGUAUAUAGGAAAGGGAUCCAUUACAAAAUAUAAGCACACUGCACAAAGAUUAAAUUCUUCAGACAUUAUAAUAAACAUGGACGUAAGAACUGGUAAGUAAACACAUUAGAGUUAAGGGUGAAAUUAGAACUAGAACAUACCAAUUUGAGAAAGAGACAAGAAGAAAGCAUAAAUCUUGUAACAGACCACAAUACAAACAGCAAAAGAUAUAUUUUGUAUGUGAGUGUGAGUUCAGAAAGACUCGAGUGUUGGUUGUUUUUUGUGUUAAGAAAUGAGCAGGUAUUUAUAACAUUUCAAAACGAGUGAAAAAGAGGAAAUAAAUCGCAAACAUGGGAACAAUCCCAUUCAGAAUCAAUUAUACGAGUGACUGCCCUUAAUUAAGGGGGUCAAUUGCUUAACGGGCAAUGACAUGCUCAAAAUAAGGAAAACAAUCAAUUAAAAAGUAGGCUGACAAUUAUCAUAAGAGAAGUAGAAAAUAACAAGUAAGCAAUCGAGUCUAUGUGCGGAAGAAUUCAUAUUUGGAAAGGAUUUAGUAAGGUAAAAUAGGAAAAGAAAUCAAUUAUCCCUAAUAGGCGAGUAAAAUCAGAAUUUCAUAUAGGAAAGGGUUGAAAUCAGUCACACAUUUGACAAGCCAUCAAUGAAGGAGUUUCAGCAUAUAAAUAAGGUGCAUAAACAUCAAACAUGCGAGGCUGAAUUUAAGACAAAGGAAAAAUAUGUCCAAAUCAGGGAGUAGUGGUCUAUAGGAACAUGUUAGUCAUCUUAGAGAGGAAGAAAUAGCAUACAAAAUUCAAGUAAAAGGUCUUAUAGAGUUUAGUAAAAAAGUUGAAGCAAAGAUAGCAGUAGGUGAGACAACUUCAAAACUCAAAUAAGUCCAAGAGAUUAGGGUUUUGAUAUCAAAACAAGUUCAGAUAUAAGAAGAAAAUCACGUAUCAAGUGGCCUCAAGAACUCGAAUGGAACCCCAAAUUCUAGGGUUUCCUACCGUUAAUCGAGCCUAGAGAUGAAAACAAGUGAAUCAAGCAGAAAUAACACGAAAUAAGUUCAGAAAUCACAGAAGGACCGUGACCUUUAACAUGUAUUUCCAGAAUAAAAAAUAAUAAAUGAACAAUCGUGCAAAAUACAGUAGGGGAAAUCAUGAGAACAAAGUAUAAGAAAAUAUAGUAGAAGAAAACACAUAAGAAUCACAGUAGAAUAUGUAAAAUCAGAUAAACCCUAAGUCAGAGAAGAUGAAAGGUUUGAAAGCAAAUUUUGAAAGAAACAUUGGGAAAUCAUUGAAACCUUAAAAUAAACACAUAUCUAAAGAAAUCAGGAUAACCUAGAAAGGCUGGGGUUUCAGAAGAACCCUAGAAGCGAGAAAGCCUGGAAAAAUCACUAUCUAAACCAGAGGAUGUCGCAAUCAGGCUCAGAAGACCAAGAGCCCUCGGAGCAAAGGCCGGAGAUGGCUGAUAUCUUCAAAUAGAUGAAGGUCUGAGUGAAGACCCUCGAGAUCAGACCUCGAUCCUUCAAACGACGGGAAUGAAGGAGCCAUAGGAGGCAGGUACACGUCUUUAAUGGCUUUGGCAGCCAUGGAUUCAGGCGGUUCUGGGUGCUAACCGGAGGGAGGCGGCUAGGGUUAAGUUUUGGUAUUAGAGAGAAUCAGAGAAGAAGUGGGAUUCAAGGGCGGUG
rnacentral:lncRNA from 1 species